GUGCUCACUUCAGCAGCACAUACACUAAAAUUGCAAUGAUAUAGAGAAGAUUAGCUUGGCCCCUGCACAAGGUUGACAUGCAAAUUCAUGAAGCAUUCCAUAUUUUU